AGCAUAUCAAUAAGCGGAGGAAAAGAAACCAACAGGGAUUGCCUCAGUAACGGCGAGUGAAGCGGCAACAGCUCAAAUUUGAAAUCUGGCGCCCCCGGCGUCCGAGUUGUAAUUUGUAGAGGAUGCUAUUGGGUUGCCACCGGUCUAAGUUCCUUGGAACAGGACGUCACAGAGGGUGAGAAUCCCGUACGUGACCGGCCAGGCGCCCUCCGUAUAGCUCCUUCGACGAGUCGGGUUGUUUGGGAAUGCAGCCCUAAAUGGGAGGUAAAUUUCUUCUAAAGCUAAAUACCGGCCAGAGACCGAUAGCGCACAAGUAGAGUGAUCGAAAGAUGAAAAGCACUUUGGAAAGAGAGUUAAAAAGCACGUGAAAUUGUUGAAAGGGAAGCGCUUGCGAUCAGUCUCGACGGCGGCCGUUCGGCCUCUCUUCUGAGUGGUUUAUUCGGUCGCCGCCGGGCCAGCAUCAGUUUCGGCGGUCGGACAAAGGCGCGGGGAAUGUAGCUCCCUCGGGAGUGUUAUAGCCCCGCGUGCAAUACGGCCCGCCGGGACUGAGGUCCGCGCUUCGGCUAGGAUGCUGGCGAAAUGGUCGUAAGCGGCCCGUCUUGAAACACGGACCAAGGAGUCUAACAUCUACGCGAGUGUUUGGGUGUCAAACCCGUGCGCGCAAUGAAAGUGAACGGAGGUGGGAACCGCAAGGUGCACCAUCGACCGAUCCUGAUGUCUUCGGAUGGAUUUGAGUAAGAGCGUAGCUGUUGGGACCCGAAAGAUGGUGAACUAUGCCUGAAUAGGGUGAAGCCAGAGGAAACUCUGGUGGAGGCUCGCAGCGGUUCUGACGUGCAAAUCGAUCGUCAAAUUUGGGUAUAGGGGCGAAAGACUAAUCGAACCAUCUAGUAGCUGGGUCCUGCGAG
rnacentral:rRNA from 1 species